GACAGCAGUAGCCGCGGUAAUACGUAGGUGGCAAGCGUUGUCCGGAAUUAUUGGGCGUAAAGCGCGCGCAGGUGGUUUAAUAAGUCUGAUGUGAAAGCCCACGGCCCAACCGUGGAGGGUCAUUGGAAACUGUUAAACUUGAGUGCAGGAGAGAAAAGUGGAAUUCCUAGUGUAGCGGUGAAAUGCGUAGAGAUUAGGAGGAACACCAGUGGCGAAGGCGGCUUUUUGGCCUGUAACUGACACUGAGGCGCGAAAGCGUGGGGAGCAAACAGGAUUAGAUACCCCGGUAGUCCCUGUCUCUUAUAC
rnacentral:rRNA from 1 species